rnacentral:rRNA from 1 species
CAGUCGCCGCGGUAAUACGUAGGUGGCAAGCGUUGUCCGGAAUUAUUGGGCGUAAAGGGCUCGCAGGCGGUUUCUUAAGUCUGAUGUGAAAGCCCCCGGCUCAACCGGGGAGGGUCAUUGGAAACUGGGAAACUUGAGUGCAGAAGAGGAGAGUGGAAUUCCACGUGUAGCGGUGAAAUGCGUAGAGAUGUGGAGGAACACCAGUGGCGAAGGCGACUCCCUGGUCUGUAACUGACGCUGAGGAGCGAAAGCGUGGGGAGCGAACAGGAUUAGAUACCCCCGUAGUCCCUGUCUCUUAUAC